ACGGGUGAGUAACACGUAGGUAACCUACCUCCGAGUUCGGGAUAACCUGUCGAAAGAUAGGCUAAUACCGGAUAAGACCACGAUGGUUUCGGCCAUUGCGGUCAAAGAUGGCCUCUAUUUAUAUGCUAUCGCUUGGGGAUGGGCCUGCGCACCAUUAGCUAGUUGGUGAGGUAACGGCUCACCAAGGCUACGAUGGUUAGUUGGUCUGAGAGGAUGACCAGCCACACUGGGACUGAGACACGGCCCAGACUCCUACGGGAGGCAGCAGUGGGGAAUAUUGCGCAAUGGGGGAAACCCUGACGCAGCGACGCCGCGUGGGUGAUGAAGGCCUUCGGGUCGUAAAGCCCUGUCGGAGGGGAAGAAGGACUCUCGUGCAAAUAGUUCGAGGGUUUGACGGUACCCUUAGAGGAAGCACCGGCUAACUCCGUGCCAGCAGCCGCGGUAAUACGGAGGGUGCAAGCGUUGCUCGGAAUUACUGGGCGUAAAGGGCGUGUAGGCGGUUUCGUAUGUCUGGCGUGAAAGCCCCGGGCUCACCUCGGGAAGUGCGUCGGAAACUGCGAGACUAGAGUCCCGGAGAGGG
rnacentral:rRNA from 1 species